rnacentral:rRNA from 1 species
GACGAACGCUGUCGGCGUGCUUAACACAUGCAAGUCGAACGGAAAGGCCCUGCUUUUGUGGGGUGCUCGAGUGGCGAACGGGUGAGUAACACGUGAGUAACCUGCCCUUGACUUUGGGAUAACUUCAGGAAACUGGGGCUAAUACCGGAUAGGAGCUCCUGCUGCAUGGUGGGGGUUGGAAAGUUUCGGCGGUUGGGGAUGGACUCGCGGCUUAUCAGCUUGUUGGUGGGGUAGUGGCUUACCAAGGCUUUGACGGGUAGCCGGCCUGAGAGGGUGACCGGCCACAUUGGGACUGAGAUACGGCCCAGACUCCUACGGGAGGCAGCAGUGGGGAAUAUUGCACAAUGGGCGGAAGCCUGAUGCAGCAACGCCGCGUGCGGGAUGACGGCCUUCGGGUUGUAAACCGCUUUCGCCUGUGACGAAGCGUGAGUGACGGUGAUGGGUAAAGAAGCACCGGCUAACUACGUGCCAGCAGCCGCGGUGAUACGUAGGGUGCGAGCGUUGUCCGGAUUUAUUGGGCGUAAAGGGCUCGUAGGUGGUUGAUCGCGUCGGAAGUGUAAUCUUGGGGCUUAACCCUGAGCGUGCUUUCGAUACGGGUUGACUUGAGGAAGGUAGGGGAGAAUGGAAUUCCUGGUGGAGCGGUGGAAUGCGCAGAUAUCAGGAGGAACACCAGUGGCGAAGGCGGUUCUCUGGGCCUUUCCUGACGCUGAGGAGCGAAAGCGUGGGGAGCGAACAGGCUUAGAUACCCUGGUAGUCCACGCUGUAAACGGUGGGUACUAGGUGUGGGGUCCAUUCCACGGGUUCCGUGCCGUAGCUAACGCUUUAAGUACCCCGCCUGGGGAGUACGGCCGCAAGGCUAAAACUCAAAGGAAUUGACGGGGCCCCGCACAAGCGGCGGAGCAUGCGGAUUAAUUCGAUGCAACGCGUAGAACCUUACCUGGGUUUGACAUGGAUCGGGAGUGCUCAGAGAUGGGUGUGCCUCUUUUGGGGUCGGUUCACAGGUGGUGCAUGCCUGUCGUCAGCUCGUGUCGUGAGAUGUUGGGUUAAGUCCCGCAACGAGCGCAACCCUUGUUCACUGUUGCCAGCACGUUAUGGUGGGGACUCAGUGGAGACCGCCGGGGUCAACUCGGAGGAAGGUGGGGAUGACGUCAAGUCCUCAUGCCCCUUAUGUCCAGGGCUUCACGCAUGCUACAAUGGCUGGUACAGAGAGUGGCGAGCCUGUGAGGGUGAGCGAAUCUCGGAAAGCCGGUCUCAGUUCGGAUUGGGGUCUGCAACUCGACCUCAUGAAGUCGGAGUCGCUAGUAAUCGCAGAUCAGCAACGCUGCGGUGAAUACGUUCCCGGGGCU